CACUCUGGGCUUCCAGAAGUGGUCUAGCCAAACGAGGUAGGGCCAGGUGGGAAGCAAGCACACCCCUUGCCCUGUACCUCCCACACCACCUUUCACCACCCCUGUUAUCAGCCUGAUCCCCCAACUUAAACAGCAUGUGGUUGAGGAGAAUUAUCUCAGAGUUUCCCAAAAAAGAUUUCUUCAGCCAAGCAGAAAAACAAAAUGUUGAAAGUGAAGCCAUUACAAAAUGAUGGGGGCGGUGAUGAAAGACCAAGGUGUAGCUUUCUGGCAGUAAAGGAAAGGCUACCAGUCUCAGCAUUCCUCUGUGUACCUGGCAGAAAGGGGAGCUAGAGGGUGAACACUGGAGAGGAAGUCCAGACACAGACUCUGGGGGCCAAACCCAGCCAUGACCCCAUCUGCAAUAAUUUCUUUCAGGAAGAAACAGCAUGGAAUUGAGGAGGAGGUAGAGGAGAAGGAGCUACACUAAUGUUUAUUAAAUGCCUACUAUGUGCAAGGGGCUUCCACAUCUAUUAUGAUAUCCUUUAAUGUUUACAAUCUAAGAGGUCAGCUUUAUUAGUUACAUUUUAUAUCUGAGAAAACUAUGGCCUGGAAGAGAUGGGUACUGAUAACUGAGCCUAUCACCAGAAGUCACUGAUUGCGGUGUCCCCAUUUCUCUCCAGGACUGAGCCUGUGAGGAGGGGAGGACCACUCGCCUCUCCGCUCUGGACUCUCCUGGAAUCAGGUAAGGACCCUGAGAGAGAAAGACUCACCCACAUACUCGUCCAUGUUGAAGGUCUUCACAUACUUAAAGGACAGGUCCCCGUUCUUGUAGUACUCAAUCAGCUUCUUGUAGCAGCCAAGUGGGGUGCUCCCUGCAAGAAAGGACACAGCCAUGAACCAGGGGGUACCCAGGAGCGAGGCAGGGCUGUUCCGUAAGGAGAAUCUGUCAGAUGGGAGAGAAACAAGCCAGAUCUGAAGUCCUGCCCCAAUGCUCCAAUCACAACUGUCCUCCAUUCAUUGCCUGUUUAAUGACUAUUUCCUCACUAGACUGUAAGCUCCACGCAGGCAGGGCUGUGUCUGUCCUGUUCACUGCUGAAUCCCUAGUGCCCAGCACACUGAUGACAGAAACGACUGUGCGGAGUACCUGCUGAUGGCAUCCCCUCCAUACCACAACACACCAGUGGGGAGCCCCAGGGUGAAGUACUUGUCUGGCCCUGGGUUAAACUGGAUGAUGCGGUUCCUGAUGUAUUUGGCUGCCCACUCACUGGCCUGAGAAUAGUCGUCGAGGAUGAUGAGCUUCAUCGUUUCCUGCAGCGGGAAUGACAAAAGAGAGGCAGUGGUAAGAAGCAGGGGUGGAAACAGGGAAAGAGGUGGUAGGGGUGGAGCCGGAGAAGCCCCUCUCACCCAUCAACAAUCCCCUUUCCAAGCCGAGCCAGGAAGAGGAAACCCCUUUCAUUUCAGAGGGCGGAGCGUCUCUUCCAGCCACCAGGAGGCACUAGCGUGAGCCAGACCCGAGUUCCAAUCUCGGUUCCUCCAUUUAGGAACUGCAGGAGCCUGUUUCCUCCCGUGUAAAAAUGCGGACCUCACCUAUUUCACCAUGGCGAAUAUUCAGUAAGAGAAUGCAUGUAAAGCACACAGUGACUGCUCUUGCCCUGAUCCUUGGCACUGAGUGGCCUCCAGUUGCCAUGGUGCUGUUUUUUUGACCCACGGAUGGACCCCUGACUCGAGUAUGCUGAUCAGAGUGCUUCCCUGGAAUUUGGAAAAGGAACUGAUGGAUGAACCUGUAAUGUGUAAACUGGAGUGCUCUGGGUGGUCAUGGUUUUCUGCCAAAUGGAUCGGAAAAGCAGAGUGAGCUGAUCUACAAAGAGAAUGAAGCACAUGUGUCUACAUUGGAACGGAUGUUCAAUGAAGCUAACGAAGUUUAAACUCUCAUUGGCAAAGACUCUUCCCAGAGCCCCAGGAGGAUCUUGUAUUUGUAGUUUUAUAUUCUUGUUCUUAAAGAGGGCCCCCAAAUUGUGUAUGCUUCUGGCCUCAAAAAUGUGGACUUGCCCUGCAUAUGCAUUCCCCUCUGUGAUUGCAAUGCAAGCUUUGGUGAUUUCAGGAAGACUAUUCCACCACAACACAAAAUUCAUUCCUAACUUAGGGCUUUUGACAAGCCUCAAUGGAGAGAGGCUGCAAUGUUCUUCUCCCAGAUCUUUGCAGACUUGGCUGCUUCUUGUGAAACCGAUCUUACCUUCAAGCUUACUGCCUCCAAGAGGCCUUCCCUGUCACCCCUCCUAACAACUCCUUGUAUCUCUAUUACAUCAUCAUCUUUUAUUUUCAUGCUGGCACUUACCUGAUAAUUUCUUGUUUAUUCAUUUGUUUGCUCAUUGAUUAUCUUCUCCUACUCUUUCUAAAAUGAAAGAUCCUCUAAGAGCAGGAACCCCAACUUUCUUGUUCACUGCUGUGUCCCCAGCAUCUAGAAUGGUGCCUGGCAUAUUGUUGUAGGUAUUCAAUAAACAUUUGUUGGUAUUACUUAUUUAUCAAAUACGUAUGAAAUACCUCUUAUGUGGCAGGCAUGGUUCUAAUAACUUUAUAAAUGAAUGAAGUUUCCAACUUUCUAAUGUAGUCCAUGGUUCUGUGACAGAUUUUCAAUUCCUAACUCGCUUUUCCAAAGAAGAAAAUUGGAACUCAUCCACAAAUAUUUAUUAAGCUGUGUCUAUGUUCUAGACACUGGGCUAAAUGCUUUACCUCAUUUGAAACCCCACAGCAACGCUAUAAUAAGGUAAUUUAUUCACUAGGGUCUGCAUUUGGCUACAUGUAACUGAAUCCUGACAACUUGGGCUUAACCCACCAAAGGUUUAUUUUUCUCACUCAACAAGGAGUCUGGGGCGUGUGGUCCAGGAUUUGUACAGCAUCUCCAUGAGGCCAUCAUGGACCUGCUUCUGCUUCCCCGCUGUCGUUCUUAGCAUGUGGCUCUUGUAUUCAUAGUUGCAAAGACGGCUGCUGCCUCACUAGCUGUUGGGGUAGCUAUCAUUAGCUCCAUCUGUGGGUUAGAAUAGUUAAGUGAUGUGCCCCAAGACUCACAACUGACAAAUGGCCGAAUGAGGCUAGUUUCAAUUUUACUUGAACUGACCACCCCAAUUCCCCGGCUGUAUUUGAAAAAAUCAAGGGCCCUUCAUGGGACUGAGUCUUCUAGGACCGUCAAGGUUCACUCCUGUGAUCACUGCAAGCAACCCUCAUUCUGGUGCCUGCAAAUGCUGUUUUUUUUCAUACUACCUCCUAUCUCCAUCUCUGCUGAUGCUUUGCUAUGUAGUUGUAUUUACCAGAUAUUGUGGACCAAGUUGAAUAAUAUUUGGACCUGCAGAAUUUUGAGUGAAUGAAUGAAAUAGGGGCCUUCCUCCCUUAUUGAUAAACAGAACUUCAACAGCCAAGGGUCUUCUGAAAUCUAAAAGAUGUUUUGUCAUCAAUAGUGUACUGAUUAAGUAAAUUAUGCCAAGCCACGUGUUGGAAAAUCAUGUGGCUAAUAAAAUGAAUGAGGUGGACCAAGAAAGAAUGCUAAGAUGUAUUAUUUAGUAAGAAAACGAAGCAACAUACAGAACAUUAUGUAGAUCAUGAUUUUUCCCUGUUUCUUAAAUAUAUAUAUAUUUCACACCCACACACACAUGUAUAUUUACAUACAUAUACUUUUUCUGGGAGGAGCCAUAAAAUAAUAAUUAAUAGUUAGUACAUCAGGAAGGGCAGGAACAGAAGUUACCGCUUAUCAUUUUGUAUUCUAAUGUCUAAAAUUUCUAGCCUUACAUAUGCAUUACUGUUGUAAUUAUUAUCUAAUAUCAAUGGGAGUGAUCUGUGCAAUGAGAGUAUAGGCCAUUAAAUUUUUUUCCUG